GCCCAUUCGGCUCCACUCACACAAUAACAUAAACAGAGAAGAACUGAUGGAGAUUGGCUUUUGCUGGCGUCAGUUGUACAAGCAGAAGGGCAUUGCAGAAUGUACCUUGCUUUAUGUUUGAGUGAAUGAAUUAUUGAACGAUGUACGGGGAUGGUGUGGGAAUA